rnacentral:rRNA from 1 species
UACGUAGGGUGCAAGCGUUAAUCGGAAUCACUGGGCGUAAAGCGCACGUAGGCGGAUCUUUAAGUCAGGGGUGAAAUCCUGGAGCUCAACUCCAGAACUGCCUUUGAUACUGGGGAUCUCGAGUCCGGAAGAGGUGAGUGGAACUCCGAGUGUAGAGGUGAAAUUCGUAGAUAUUCGGAAGAACACCAGUGGCGAAGGCGGCUCACUGGUCCAUUACUGACGCUGAGGCGCGAAAGCGUGGGGAGCAAACAGG